GGAGUUUUGGAUACAAAGUUGGCUGAAGCAGUGGAAGGUGGUAUGUUGUGGAUGUGAUCUGAAUCCUUCCCUGUGGUUGGUCAAGAAAAUGUCCUUCGUGUCAAAGUGUUUUUCCAUGGCAAUCGUGAAAGGCGUCUACCGUGAGCUGAGCUUCACAGUUCCGUGGGGCCACAUCGCAGCCAAGGCCUGGGGUCAUCCCAGUGGGCGCCCAGUAUUAUGUCUGCACGGCUGGGCAGAUAAUGCCAACACUUUUGACCGACUCAUCCCUUUGCUUCCCGGAGAGUUUUAUUACGUGGCAUUGGAUUUUCCUGGUCAUGGCCUUUCCUCACACCGGUCGCCAGGAAUUCCCUAUUACUUCACGGAAUACAUCUCGGACGUGCGGCGAAUUGCAGACGCUUUAAACUGGAAUAAGUUCACCAUUUUAGGCCACAGCAUGGGGGGUAAUGUUGGAGGCUUGUUUUGUUCAGUAUUCCCAGACUUGGUCGAUAAACUGAUUGUGCUGGAUGGAUAUGGGUUUUAUCCAACUGCAAUUACCGCUAUCCGGGAACGACUUCAGACAGCGAUUGAUGAGCUUAUAAAGCUGGAAAAGGAGCAGGGUUCACCCCGUGUGUAUACGCCUGGUGGAGCACUAAAGAGGUUGCUGCAGGGAAAUCGGUCCGUUUCUGAGGAAAGUGGGAAGAUUCUGCUUCAGCGGGGAGCCACUGAGGUAUCUGGAGGUGUUGUCUUCAACCGCGAUUUGAGAAUUAAUCUGCACAAUCCUGUAAGGAUGACCAUCGAACAGUGUCUGGAGUUUCAGAAGAAUAUCACAGCUGCUGUCCUCCUCAUUAUCGCUAAGGACGGACUGUGCUCAGAAAAAGCAUGGAAUCCCAACAAGCCACCGUUUAGUCUCUUACUGGAGGGAUACCGGACUCACCUGAAGGAGUUCCGAAUGGAGAAAGUACAGGGAAAUCACCACGUCCAUUUGAAUGAGCCGGAACGAGUGGUGGGAAUCAUCACCAAGUUUCUCCAGAUGGACGUCACAUCCAAAUUAUGAGGAUGGAAGAUGGGCAGCCUGUGCCUGGUCCAGCAUAAAGAAAGGAGCUCCUUCCCAGGACAGAAGAAAGCUCUCUCAACUCGACACUGGUAACCAGGAAUAAAGGCUUGUUGGUACAAACACCGCCGCUCGAAUUUGCAGCACACCGUAUACAGUCAGGUGAUUGGUUCCUGAUCAAGACCUGGAAAGAUACCAAACUCCACCCAAGUUGGGAGGGACCAUUCCUAACCCUCCUGAUUACUGAAACAGCUAUUCGGACUGCUGAGAAAGGGUGGAGUCAUCACACUCGCGUUAAAGGUCCUGUGAACGCCCCAACGGCAGAGUGGCAUGCUCAUCCUACAGACAACCCUCUGAAAGUUAAGCUGAGAAGGAAAGAAUGAACUGAGACAAAAGACUCUUUUAACGUUUGUUGAUAUAUAUUGUUAUUAAUUGUAAGGGCUGUGUGGACACCUAAAAGGUUAAGACAGGACGGUAGGCAGGGUUCAGAGAUAGGUAGAUACUGGUAUAGUAUUGUAAUGUUAGUAGUACUAACUGUUCAAGGAAGCAAGAAAAAUCACUUCACUACGCUGUGCCAGAAUUAUGCUAAACAAGAGGGACUUGCCGACUUUUGGGUCUGUGCAGAGGUCCCACACCAUGGGGAAUCUGGAAUCCCCACCUCGGUAAUACCGGUCACCAAAAAGGAAGCAUACGAUGUACAACAAUUUGACUCGGGCUCAAAUGAUACAAAGUGGAAAUCUGACAGGGGUAAAUAUAACUUUGCGGGAUGGUUCCCUAGACGAGCCUGAAAAACCCAGGGAAUUAUCGGUGGCCUUAUAAUUUCCUCACCGAAAGGAGCAGUGAAUACCACCUGUUUUUGUAAUCAGAAUGACGCCGCACCCUUCCAAUUAGGAAAAUCAUCUUGUGUUUACACCAGCCAAGCCACUGCCACAACCAUUCACCGAAUAUUGAACGGAACAUAUUGGGUAUGCGGCCAGAAGGCCUAUCCAUUUAUUCCCGGGGAAAAAUAUGUUUGAGUAACCGAAUGUAUAGGAAUAAAUGCAUGUUUUGAUGUUGAUGAAUCACUGCCUCAAAGCCAGAAAGGCUGGAGUGGCUGCUGUUACCUCGCUUAUAUAGUUCCUCAUCUCUGAUUAGAAAAACAUGAGCACAACCUGAGAAAGGAGAGGGAAUAAGACGUAAGGCCCGAAAAGUCUCUGACCGUCUGUUGUGGACACUAUUCCCAAACUACGGCACUGCAAGGGCAGGGGUAGAGAUACAUAAACUGGCGGCUGCCCUUGAGAAAUUAAUUAAUAAUACCGCCGACGUAAUGGGAGAAACUCAGUCCCAAAUAUCGGGCAUAGCCACCGAAAUGAUUGCCACAAGACUAACAGCCUUACAGAAUCGAAUGGCUCUAGACUAUCUCUUGGCCAAAAAAGGGGGAACCUGUGCACUGAUUGGUAAGGAAUGCUGCAUCUUCACCCCAGACGCCUCUUCCCUAGUGGGAGAUAAGGCAGAAAUAGUAAAGAAAAAGAUAAAGAAUAUAAAAGAAAUUGAGGAUAAACUUCAAAAAGAUGAGAAAUGGGGACUGACCGGUUGGGAAAAUGGUUAGCUAAUUUAGGCAUUUAUGUAUUUCUGAUAAUAGUAAGUUUAAUAAUAGGAUUUAAUGUGUUAAAGAGGAUCAUGAGUAAGUUGAUAAUGUCCUUAGGAGGACAACAAUCAAUGAUGGUCAUGACAAAAGUAAGCGCACAAGAAAGAGAGAGAAAUAGAUUACUCCUAGAGUAUGAAAAAAAAGGCUUAGGAGAGCAGAAACGGCAAGAUUGUGAACCUCUCCACCUUAGGGUGAAAAGAGGGCAGAAAAUAAAAAUUGCAAAAACAGCAAAUGGUAAAAGAAAAGAAAUGGGGGAGUUGUUAGAA